rnacentral:rRNA from 1 species
UACAGAGGGUGCAAGCGUUGUUCGGAAUUAUUGGGCGUAAAGGGCGCGUAGGCGGUGCGGUAAGUCUUUUGUGAAAUCUCCGGGCUCAACUCGGAGUCUGCAGGAGAAACUGCCGUGCUUGAGUGUGGGAGAGGUGAGUGGAAUUCCCGGUGUAGCGGUGGAAUGCGCAGAUAUCAGGAGGAACACCGGUGGCGAAGGCGGGUCUCUGGACCGAGACUGACGCUGAGGCGCGAAAGCGUGGGGAGCAAACAGG